CGUUCCUCGAGUUUCCUGAUCUCUGAUCCCAUCUCAAUCCCGUCCACACCACGAGGCUCAGCAGCAGCAAACAAAGGCAUCAAGAAGAAAGUUCUCAAGAUGUUCCCGGUAUUGACUUACUCACCUGAGAUGAACUUGUCAGGGGUCGGCGAAGAGUGUGUUAUUUGCUUGUCUGAUUUUGUAGCUGGAGAACAGAUACGGCUACUUCCUAAGUGCAACCAUGGGUUCCACGUUCGUUGUAUCGACAAGUGGCUUACGCAACAGAUGACUUGUCCGAAAUGUAGACACUGUCUGGUUGAUACAUGUCAAAAGAUCUUAGGAGACUGUGACGAAGCUGAUGAAGUUGCAGAAACAACAACGGAGAGUAUAGAUGUUAUAAUUGCUCCUACAGAACCUGAAGAAAGAGUCAACAGCUAGAGAGUAUGUGCCAAUAAACAACUAGAUUUUCAAGAUUUUAGUUCUUCCACAUAUGGUUAUGCAACUUAGUCUACGUGACAUGCAAAAUAUUUCCCUUGAUGCACCAAGUAGUCAAGUACUGGAGAGAUGAAUCUAUAUCUCAUAUCUCUCUCAUCAGUCACUCAUUUGAAUAAUCAAAGAGGCAAAUAAAAUUUGAGACAAGCAGGGUUAGAAAGCUAAUUAAGUAUCCCACUUGUGUUUUCUUAGGGAGUGCUCUAUCCAUGUCCACAACCACAUAUUUGAUAUUUCAGUUGUAUCUAUCUCCAAGUCUCUGUCUAGAAUUGAAUAUUCAACAUAUCAUAUGUACACACUAAAGCCUCUUUUUUAGUUAGAAAAAUAUGAAUACUCACUCUAAGAUUACUAUGUUGAUUAAGAGGUAUAUUUAUUUACAUAUGAUCAUUCUGAUCUUGACAUUUAUAAGAUUUAAAUAGUUAAAUAUUAAUGAUCAAUACAUAUAUUUUUGAUUAUUUUUUAAAAUAAAUGAUAUAUGCAUAUUAAAUUUUGGAGUGGAAAUGAAUUCAAUCAAAGUUGAUAAAGCUUCUAAAUAUGAUUAUCAGUCAAAGUUGGUGAAGCUUCUAACUUCCUAAUACCGCAAAUGAAUUAUUGUAUCAAAUAUCGAUUUUCAUAUUAUUAUUUUGGAUCAAAUAUCGAUUUUCUUAUAUUUCAAUCAUGUUAUGGAUGGUGAUAAUCGAAUAUACGUUCGACAUAUCAAUAGGACCGAUGACUCUCUGGAGGUUGGAGAAUUAAGUUUGAGUUUACAUAACUACAUAAAACAUGAAAUGAAAACAUUCAUUAAAAGCAACUAAACAUGGCACCAUAGAUUAAGGUUAGGGAAGAUUGUGACGACGCAAAAGACAAAACCAAAAUCCAGACGAUAACGUUUGUGGAGUAGAAUCGAAAAGGGGCUAUAGAGCAGAUUACAUCUGUUUUGUUUCCUUGGCUUUUUGGAAAACGAAUAAAUAUUAAUACAGCUUGAGCUAAAUAAUUUAGCUAAAGUUUCAAAUAUAUGCAGACAAGUUUAUCGUUUAGAUCUUGGAAAAUCAUUACACUAUCAAAAAACGAUUUUGCAUAUAUUACCUGUAAAGAGUAAAGAGAUAUUUUUAACAAAAAAAAGAGUAAAGAGAUAUGAAAUAAAAAGAACAAUUGUCUAAACAACCAACAUAUAUCUAUCUUUUUAUCGUCCACUAUAUAGUAAUUUCACUGACCUUUACUCGCAAUCAUUUCCAAAUCAGGAAAUUUACUCAAGAAAGUAAAAUAUGACAAGAAAAAUAAAUAAACUUUCUAUUAUUUACAAAGUAUUUUGUAUUUUGAUAUUUUAAAUAAAUAAAGAGAAUUAUGAAGCGACAUAACACAUGGAAAGAGAAGCACAAUAAUUCAGAGAAUUUAUAAAAGCAACAAAACCCAACACUUCCUUACAACUUUCCACACCAUCAUAAUAGAGAUACAACAACUUCUCUUGAUUAAUGCAAGAAUUAUAUAAUAAUAGAUAUCAAUUGUUGUAUUUCUAAAACUAAAUGAUUGUCCCUACAAAAGCAUUUUGUAAUUGGAAAAGAUAUGGAUGGAGGCACAAUCUGUACACAUGGGGACUCAUGAAAAAAGGAUAAGCUCUUUCUGGGUCCCAAAGUCCUCAUCUCAUUUCAAGAGAUAGAGAAGGAACUUUCCAUAACCAACAAUUAAUUAUCUCUAAAAUAUAUAAUUCCUGUAGUCCUCCACUAUCUAAGUAUCAUUAAAGCUAUAUAUAAACAACAAUUUCAAUCAUUCAAGGGAAUAAAACAGCAUAAGAGAAACCAGAGCAAAAGAAAAAAGAUCUAGUAAUGAUGUCUUCUGAUUACUCACCUUCUUCAUCUCACCAAGAACAUUUCAUCAACAGCUUCCUCUCAAGAAAAUUGCUUCAGCAACUUCCUUUUCAUCACAACAUACAGCAACAACAACAAGCUCAAGGACAAGACAAGAGCAACUUGAGCGGCAACAUUCUCCUGCUUCUCUCUAUCCUUGUCUGCGGUAUCAUCUGCUCACUAGGGUUGCAUUACAUAAUCCGUUGCGCCUUUAGACGUUCCUCGAGUUUCCUGAUCUCUGAUCCCAUCUCAAUCCCGUCCACACCACGAGGCUCAGCAGCAGCAAACAAAGGCAUCAAGAAGAAAGUUCUCAAGAUGUUCCCGGUAUUGACUUACUCACCUGAGAUGAACUUGUCAGGGGUCGGCGAAGAGUGUGUUAUUUGCUUGUCUGAUUUUGUAGCUGGAGAACAGAUACGGCUACUUCCUAAGUGCAACCAUGGGUUCCACGUUCGUUGUAUCGACAAG
rnacentral:lncRNA from 1 species